rnacentral:rRNA from 1 species
UACGUAGGGGGCAGGCGUUGUCCGGAAUUACUGGGCGUAAAGCGUGCGCAGGCGGUUUUGUAAGCCAGGUGUGAAAUCCCCGGGCUCAACCUGGGAAUGGCAUUUGGGACUGCAAGGCUGGAGUGCGGCAGAGGAGACUGGAAUUCCUGGUGUAGCAGUGAAAUGCGUAGAUAUCAGGAGGAACACCGAUGGCGAAGGCAGGUCUCUGGGCUGACACUGACGCUCAUGCACGAAAGCGUGGGGAGCAAACAGG